rnacentral:rRNA from 1 species
CUAGUUGGUAGGGUAGUGGCCUACCAAGGCGUUAACGGGUAACGGGGAGUCAGGGUUCGACUCCGGAGAGGGAGCCUGAGAAACGGCUACCACAUCCAAGGACGGCAUCAGGCGCGCAAACUACCCAAUCCAGAAAUUGGGAGGUAGUGACCAGAAAUACUGGGGUGGCUCCUAGCGAGCCUCGCCCGGAAUGGACGUAUCCCAAAAACAUCGGUGAUGAGCUACUGGAGGGCAAGUCUGGUGCCAGCAGCCGCGGUAAUUCCAGCUCCAGUAGUGUAUAUCAACAUUGUUGCGCUUAAAACGCUCCUAGUUGAAAUGGGGGGGCGCCGCCGGAGCCUCAAUUGUGUAAUUUUGGUUUCUGGUUUUGAGUAGGGCCAGAGUCGCCUAGUGAUUUGCGGGCCUACUUUUGGUGCCCCAAAAUCAUGGGCCCCGGUUUCAGUCUUGGUUGAUUGGGGCCGGGCGCCGAUGGGGUGUGCCUUGAAUAAACCAUGGUGCUCAAUGCAAGCGGAAAUGCUGGGGUGUGUUAGCAUGGAACGAACUUUUUGACUAUAGCCGGGGUGUUCCUAGUCCAAUUUUUUAAUUGGGUGCGGAGCCCGGCUGGUUAGCUUUGGUGAACCAGGUCUCAGUGGUUAAGAGGGACGCCUGGGGGCACUGGUACUCUGUGGCGAGAGGUGAAACUCUUAGACCCGCAGAAGACCGGCUGUGGCGAAAGCAUUUGCCAAGAGUGUUUUCAUUAAUCAAGAACGAAGGUCAGAGGAUCGAAGACGAUCAGAUACCGUCCUAGUUUUGACAGCAAACAUUGCCGGCCUAGCUGCGGGGCUGCUACUCGGAGUGGAGCAGAGCGGCCUCGCCGGCUUGAGGGAAACCUAGCUUUCGGGCUGCGGGGAGAAUAUCGCUGCAAGGCUGAAAUUUAAAGAAAUUGACGGAGAGGCACCACCAGGAGUGGAGCCUGCGGCUCAAUUUGACUCAACACAGGGAAAUUACCGGGUCCAGACAUUGGUAGGAUUGACAGAGUGGUGGAUCUUUCAUGAUUCAUUGAAUGGUGGUGCAUGGCCGUUCCUAGUUGGUGGAGUGAUCUGUCAGGUCUAUUCCGGUAACGAGCGAGACCGCGGCCCCGUUUUCUAUUUUAGAAUUUGAUGAAUGGGGCUGAUAAUUUGGCUCUCUUUUUGAGUUUUUGAAUUGGGGGGCCAAUUCGUUGGGCUCUUGUUUUGGAAAAUUAAAAUGGGGGGCCAAAUUAUUGGGCUUUGUUUGGGGUUUUGAAAAUUUCGGGGGACUACCGGUUGAAAGCCGGGGUAAGCGCGGCAAUAACAGGUCUGUGAUGCCCUUCGAUGUCCUGGGCUGCACGCGGGCUACAAUGGCGUCAGAAAAAAGUAGAGGGCCUGAGUAGGCGCUCUAAACUGAAAAAGACGCCGUGACGGGGAUUGAGCCUUGGAAUUGUGGCUCAUGAAAGAGGAAUUCCUCGUAAGGGCCGGUCAUCAGCCGGCCCUGAAUACGUCUCUGCCUCUUGUAC